rnacentral:misc_RNA from 1 species
UCCCCGUUACCGGGGCAGUCUACCUAGAAAAAUACAACUAAGUACAAGGGUUGCGCUCGUUAAUGGACUUAACCAAACAUCUCACGACACGAGCUGACGACGGCCAUGCAACAUCUGUCACUUGGUUCAAUAAAGCACUCACUCCUUUCGGAGUAAUUCCAAGGAUGUCAAACCCUGGUAAGGUUCAUCGUUUAGCAUCGAAUUAAAGAACACGAUCCACCGCUUGUGCGGGUCCCCGUCAAUUCCUUUAUGUUUUAGUCUUGCGACCGUACUCCACAGGCGGGAUACUUAACGCGUUAGCUUCGCCACACAGGGGGUCGAUACCCCAUACGGCUAGUAUCCAUCGUUUACGGCGUGGACUAC